ACAGUCGGGUUCGGGGUUUCGGGCAGCCAUGGCGAAUUUUCGGCAGGAUUUUACCCCAGUGAAAAAGGCUUGUAAUUUACCCUGAUCAGCUAAGAUGUUAUUUCACUGGAUUAUUUAAUGGAUAGACUUAUUGGGCAUAUAUUUGGAUAUCUCUGGAUCAGCUAAGAUGUUAUUUCACUGGAUUAUUUAAUUGGGCAUAUAAUUGGAUAUCUCUGGUAAGUUUGUCUUUGUUUUG